UCAUAGCUGAAAAGGAAAAGAAACAUUUUGCAUAACUGAGAUCAUAAUCAUUGUUUUCAUAGGCCUUUGUAUGACUACUGGUUGGACACUAAUGUAAGCCUCUAUCAAAUCAUGCUUUUAUACAGUGAGAAAUGUUGCGUUUGUGCAAAAUUCUUAAAAUAGCACCAGCCUUGGGUCCCUUCUGUUUACAAGAGAGUCAAGUGAUAGAGUAUGGAUCAUAGAAUCAUAGAAUAGCCUGGGUUGAAAAGGAGCACAAUGAUCAUCUACCUUCAAGCCCUCUGUUGUGGGCAGAGUUGUCAAUCACCAGACCAGACUGCCCAGAUCCACAUCCAGCCUGGCCCUGAAUGCCUCCAAGGAUGGGGCAUCCACAAUCUCUCUGGGCAACCUGUUCCAGUGCCUCACCACCCCCUGAGUGGAGCAUGCUGAAUGACAGCAGCAUCACAGCCAGCUUCGGGGCGAUGGAAAAUUCCUUGCUUUUUAUGUGUUCGUUCCUUUGCAGUUUUCUUUACAAAACUGCUGCAGUGAAACAGGUAAAGCUGAUCUCAAUGACAUCAUCAGGGCAGCCUCCAAAACUGUAACUCCAGAAAACAGCUCCGUAAGAGGUGCUCUCCAGAAGAAAUGGCUAAAAUGAUUAUAUUAGGUGCAAUUCAGUGCAUUUAACAGGAAAAAAAGUACUGUUUAGACAUAUUUUCAUGUAAGUAAGCCCAAUCAUCAUCUUCAAAAGCAAAAGCAAAAAGAAUGAAAUCUUUGCAAUCCUUUCCACUCCCUAUAUGCAAACACUUCUGGCAGUCAUCCAAAGCUCUAGAAGUUUGAACUGAAAUUCAGAUACUGCAGGUGACAUUAAAAAAAUCAUGUUCAAAAAUUUGAGUAUGCUUAUUUUAUGGGCUGUAGAAUAAUAAAAAAAAGUAUGUUUGGGAUGGGAUAACAAAUGAUAUUUUUUAUUAUCAUAUGCUGCCUUGGAAAUGAACUCAGUCUCAGACGAGAAACUUUGCAGAGUCACCGUCCCUGGUAGUGUUCAGUAACUGAGGAGAUGUGACUGAAAGACAUGGUUCACUGGGCAUGGUGGGGAUGGGUUGAUGGUUGGACUAGGUGGUCUUAGAGAUCUUUUCCAAGCUUAAUAAUUCCAUGAUUCUAACUAACUAACGUGGAAUGUUUUCACAAAUGGUUUGAGGACCUGUGGAGCCUGGAGCCCCUUUUGCUGCAGCAAGAAGACAGAUCUAAGCAAAAGUUUUAUAGGCCCAAGUGAUGAACAACAGAAGGACUCAGCAGGAAAUAAAGACCCAGAUGGACCUGUCAGAACAGCAGUUUGGUUAAAAAGCGUAUAAAAAACUGUGUGCAGCUAUUUCUUUACAAUAUGAUGAAAAACUUGUGUGCAAAACUUUACAGGAUAUGGAAUUCACCAUCUGGUUCUGUACUUCAUUUCUUUUAGCUUUCGUCAUUUUGUUUGACAUGGAUUGUUCUGAUUCUCAUUGUACUGAACCAGAUUUUGAUCUAGAUCAGGGAGUCACAUUUGUUCAUGUUCCAGUGAGGAAAACAAGCAGCAAUCUUGGAAACUCUCUCAGGCCAACAAACUGAAAAUGGACCAGCACUUCUCUCUCUAACAGUGCUGCAUGAACAGCAUUCCACUGGAGGAGUGAGCUAUAUUUUUUCUGACGCCAAAAGGAAUUUGCUCCAAGAUGAAUAAACACAGAGAAGUGAGGAGAAUGUUUUCUACUAUCUCCAAGACUACUUCCUUUGGUUCCAGCUUGUCUUCAUCCUCACUGCUCUUUUCCUUACUCUAAGGACAGUACAUAGAUACAUAGCACAAGAAGUUCCUGGCUAUAGGUUUUUCUAUAGUAGUCAAAGAAUGAUAAAGUACUUCAUUACCAUUCUCAUCUUCAGUGAAGACUGUCUGUCCCUUGAAGACUUUUGUUCCUACUUGUAUCUCUCCUGGCCGCAUGAAAGGCCCAUUUAUUCUGUUGUCCUUACACAGCUUAGUGAGGAUCUCACUUGGCUUGGUUGCAUCUCGCCAUGCAUUGUACCCUUCUCUGCAAGGAGGGAACAGAAUUGAGAGAAAUAGCUGAGAUUUUCCCUCAGAAAAAUGGGCAGCCACGAGAAGAGAAGGGAAGGACUAGAGAUUAUUCUUUGUUCUACCUGAAGGAUUCAAAUGUACAUGUUUAUCUCCAGAAUGACAUUUAAGGAAGAUGCAUUCUGUUGCUCCCUUGUGCAGAGGGAGAAGCUGAGAUUGUCUGGGGCCUGGAACAAGGACAUAAAGAAAUACUUCAUACUACAGCUAGCAAGGGCUUGGGUUUCAGUCUCUUUUUUUUUUUUACAUUUUCCACGUUUUGUAGAUAAAAUAGUGAAACGAUCGUGGAACAAGAACCCCAAAUUCUCAUCUCUAAGGCAAACGCCCCACCCCAGGGCAAUGGGGUUAUUUUAGUUUGUUUUUCUCCAUACUGAUUAAUCUUUGCACACAACAACAACCUUGAGAGUCCAGCUGCGUGACUGGGAUCAGGAACUCAGUGUCACUGCCUUGUGAGUCCUUUUCAAUACAGUGGCCCUAUAUGCCUGUCCAAAGGCAAUUUAUGAAGCAAAUAUGCCAUACAGAAGCUGUUUAUUACCUAAAACACUUGAUGAACAAACAGUGUUGUUAAUUUUAAACUACUCACUUCCUGCUUAGGCUGACAGGUACGUAGAGCUACUGCUAAGCUCUGUGGUGGAACUUAAUUAAAAUACCUCCUGUGACUUUUGUCCUGGAGAAAUUUUAAUUUUUUGGCCACAUCUGGAAUUUCUCCUUCAAAACAUUAAUUCACCACAUGCUGCUCUCUGUGGCUGUCUGAAGAGGUACUUACAUUUCAUAGCGACUUUGUAACCCACAGGUAGCUCUAUGCCUGCUGUAGAAACGAUUUUCCAAAUCAAUUUUAGUUUCUCCAAUCAGAUCAUCAGUUCCCACAAAGUCAUGGUCAUAGAUCAGAACUGUAAGCAAGGAGUCCUUGGGAAAUGUAGCCUGGAUUUCAAAUGACCUAUGGCAAAAAUUGGGCAGAACAUGAAGUCAAAUUAGUUUUGAUAUCUAAAAAAGUAACUUAAUGAAUAUAAUGUGAAUAAUGUGUGGAUAGUUUGCUCAACUUGCAAAUUUUCUCUUCUAAUAAAAAAUGGAUUUUUUUUGCUUGUA